CCACGCCCGUGCCGUCCUGCUGUGCCGCCGCCUCCCGUUCUUCCGCCCACUAUCCGCCGCCACCUGCACCUCCGGCGGCUGACAGUGCGCGCGCCCCAGCUCGCGGUUCCGCUCGCCGCGCUUCAACCUCGAGGAUGAAGAGUGUGAGAUUCAAUGGAAUGGCUUGACCCAUAGGGCGCCGGGUAGAUUCAUUAUAGAGGCCGGGAGAACCAGCGCAAUAGUACAAGGAAAGGAC
rnacentral:lncRNA from 1 species